rnacentral:rRNA from 1 species
UCAGAUUGAACGCUGGCGGCAGGCUUAACACAUGCAAGUCGAGCGGUAACAGGUCCUUCGGGAUGCUGACGAGCGGCGGACGGGUGAGUAAUGCUUAGGAAUCUGCCUGGUAGUGGGGGAUAGCCCGGGGAAACCCGGAUUAAUACCGCGUACGCCCUUCGGGGGAAAGCAGGGGAUCUUCGGACCUUGCGCUAUCAGAUGAGCCUAAGCCGGAUUAGCUAGUUGGUAGGGUAAAGGCCUACCAAGGCGACGAUCCGUAGCUGGUCUGAGAGGAUGAUCAGCCACAUCGGGACUGAGACACGGCCCGAACUCCUACGGGAGGCAGCAGUGGGGAAUAUUGGGCAAUGGGGGCAACCCUGAUCCAGCCAUGCCGCGUGUGUGAAGAAGGCUUUCGGGUUGUAAAGCACUUUCAGUGAGGAGGAAGGCCUUAAGGUUAAUACCCUUGAGGAUUGACGUUACUCACAGAAGAAGCACCGGCUAACUCCGUGCCAGCAGCCGCGGUAAUACGGAGGGUGCAAGCGUUAAUCGGAAUUACUGGGCGUAAAGCGCGCGUAGGUGGUUUGAUAAGCGAGAUGUGAAAGCCCCGGGCUUAACCUGGGAACGGCAUUUCGAACUGUCAGGCUAGAGUGUGGUAGAGGGUAGUGGAAUUUCNUGUGUAGCGGUG